rnacentral:rRNA from 1 species
GAUGAACGCUGGCGGCGUGCUUAACACAUGCAAGUCGAACGGGAAUUAUUUUAUUUAAACUUCGGUCGAUUUAAUUUAAUUCUAGUGGCGGACGGGUGAGUAACGCGUGGGUAACCUGCCUUAUACAGGGGGAUAACAGUCAGAAAUGGCUGCUAAUACCGCAUAAGCGCACAGAGCUGCAUGGCUCAGUGUGAAAAACUCCGGUAGUAUAAUAGGGACCCGCGUUGCAUUAGCUGGUUGGUGGGGUAACGGCCCACCAAGGCGACGAGCCAUAGCCGGCCUGGGAGGGCGAACGGGACCAUUGGGAGUGGGACACGGACCAGACUCCUCCGAGAGGGAGCAGUGGGGAAGAAUGCACAAUGGGGGAAAGCCUGAGGCAGCGAGGCCGCGUGAAGGAAGAAGUAUCUCGGUAUGUAAACUUCUAUCAGCAGGGAAGAUAGUGACGGUACCUGACAGAGAGGCCCCGGCUAACUACGU